CCUCCACUCAGGCCUUCGGAGCCAGCCAGCCGUGCGUGUGCUCCCAGCAGCCGUGGCUGUUGCUCAGGAGCCCUCGUCCCCGCUGUCCUCUCAUGCAGAAGCCUGACCUCAUCCGCCGUGGAGAGCGAGGCCACGCACCAGCGGAAGCUCCGGCAGAAGCAGCUGCAGCAGCAGUUCCGGGAGCGGAUGGAGAAGCAGCACGUUCGAGUCUCCACGCCGUCAGCUGAGAAGAGUGAGGCAGCGCCUCCGGCCCCUCCUCUGACGCACAGCACUCCUGUAACCGUCUCAGAACCACUCCCGGAGAAAGACUUCCUUGCAGGAGUGACUCAAGAAUUAAUCAGUAAAUACCUUGAAAUGCUUAGACUCUUGAAGACAACUCUGAAAAGUGGGCUGUGGCUCCCGAUGCAGGGGAUGGUGUGGUCAGGCCCUCGUCUACAGCAGACCCAGCCCAGGCCUCUGACACACUAGCCUUGAACAACCAGAUGGUGACCCAGAACAGGACUCCACACAGCCUUUGCCACCAGAAACCACAAGCAAAAUCUGGAUCUUGGGACCUCCAAACUUAUAGCGCCGACCAACGCACAACAGGAAACUGGGAAUCUCAUAGGAAGAGCCAGGACAUGAAGAAAAGGAAAUAUGAUCCAUCUUAACUGAGGCUCAGGCCACAUGAUUGGACUCUGUCACAAAGGGACUUUGGAAAACUACUUUUUGGUCAUGAAAUUGUUCAUCGCUCCUGGAGAAUGAACGUCAUUGCGAUUUAUCUUGCUUCAUUCUGAACCUUAUCAAGAGGAUCUGACUGAGAGCCCA
rnacentral:sRNA from 1 species